ensembl:misc_RNA Metazoa_SRP Metazoan signal recognition particle RNA
GCCGGGUGUGGUGAUGCACACCUGUAAUCCCAGCUACUCAGGAGGCUGAGGCACAAGAAUCGUUUGAAUCCAGGAGGCAGAGGUUGCAGUGAGCCAAGAUGGCACCACUGCACUCCAGCCUGGGUGAUAGAGUGAGACUCUGUCUCAG